ACUUUAUUUGGCUCUUAGUGUGGUUAUUGGCACAAUGAGGAAGAGUGACAGCAUGUGAGAUGAAGACACAGCUGUAAAUUCUGCAGCUCCACAGCCCCCCAGGCUCCUGCAGUUAGCCAUUAGACCCCUUAGGGAAGGCAGAACAGAGAGAGCAUUCCUUGGAUGCAGGUUUGCUGCUGGAUUUUUGAGGAUUUCCGCCAGGAGCACUGUGGUGCUGGGUACAGAGUGCACAUGCUGCUCCCCAAGGGGAUGCCACAGGAGAUGCCCUCAGCUGAGCUCCAGCCCUAAGGACAACCAAAGGUCUUGUUUGUCCCUUCAACAGCCAGACUGGUGAUGGAAAGGCUCAUCUGUCUGAUCAGAGGUUGAGAAGGAUCUGACCUGACCUCAGAGGCAGCUGGAGUUGAGUGCAGACAAGGGAACUGCUGCCAAGGAGGGGCCAUCAAGGAAAUCCAGCACGGGAGAGGUUAGGGCAGGGUGGAGCUUUUAAAAACCCUCUAAUUGUGCUUCUGCAUUUAAACAUGUGGAAAGUGCUGCUCAGGACAGAGUAUUGCAAACAACACACAUUUUCCUUAAGGUUCACUGAUGUCAGUACAGCUAACAUAGGAUACAGCCUCUUCAUGGAAAUAAUAUUUCCUCUUCUAUGCCUGCUGCACUUGGCACACAAUGGAGUCUCAUUGCUCAACAGAGCCUCUACGUGCCAUGAAAAAUAAAUAAUUAAACUCCAGCCCUUUCAGCAGCAAAGAUUGGCUCUAUGAUAGCUGGUGUGGUGCAUGGCCUGGGAGCUCCACACAGAUCCUUGAGAAGGAUGAAAUGCUGUUUAGCUUCCACCAAAAGAGAGAAGAAAUGCACACCUGCCUCCCUGAGAGUCUCCAGCUGCACAGUUCUGCUGCACUGGUAAUUCCCAGCAAUUGGAAAGGGUAAGAGCAGAAUUUGGGGGCCAGUGGGGCCCACCAGUGUCUGAUCAGAGCUGAUCAGUUUUACUCUUGUGUCUAGAAUCAUCAGCUUCUUCUCAUGUGUAAUUUACUGUGUUUUCCCCUGAAAAUAUAUCUUCCCUCACUCUGGGGAAGUGGGAGGAAAUCUCUGGAUUUUCUCUUCAACAUAAGCUGUAGCUUCUACCCUGAGUACUUUUGGUGUUUGAGUAACAAUGAAAAAAGGACAACCCCUCAACUGGGAUGUAAUUUCUCAAUCCCUCCAUCAAAGGUUCCAAAGGACAGCUGAGGGAGGGACAGGGCAUGUCAAUCAGCCCAUGUGGCUCUGACUUGUGUAAAAAAUGCAGGCUUAAUCCCUGCUAAUGCCCUACAAGCACUGUCCACACAGGGUUAUACAAGCACCUGGAGCUGCUGCCGGGUGAGUGAAGCCUGUGGGUGCCCUGUGAGGCUGCAGGAGUGUGUCUCCAGCAGGGGUGGUCCCACAGCGUGGCAGCCUGUGUGUGCUUGGCACAGGGGGGCAGCGCUGGUGGCACUCCCCAGGUGCCCUGGCAGCACUCUCUGUGCCCGAGCUGUCCCUUACCUCUGCCAUGCAGGGCUCAGUGUGCUUUGGCAAGGACAGCUGCCACCUGCUCCUCUGCAGUGAGGACCUGGCUUCCAGAUUUUUAAACAUAAGGGAGGUGAAUCUAGAAAGCUCAUAGCAAAACAGUGAUGAAGGUUCAUGGCUACAGUGACCAGAGAUGUAGAGGAUGCAGAGAAAAGCAACUCUGCCUUAUUUAUGUCAGAAAGGUACCUACCAUAAGUUACAGCAUUCCUAAAGAUGCUGUGAUCUAUAGCAGCCUCCUAAGGCAAACCAGAAUCCCCUCUUCAAAAGCAAUAUAUCUAUUUAUUUAAAGAAGGGAAAAUAUUACAAAUCUGACAAUGUUCUUUCCUGCCAAGGAAAAAUCUGAAGCGUUAAAUGUGCAGAGUGACUUGGUGAAUCAAAGCUGGGCAGUGGCUUUAAGUGUGCCACGUGUUCCUUGCUGGAGCCCUGCUGCUGACAGCUGAUGGCAGCUUGCUACUGGCUCUGGACAGUGGAAAAAGCAGCCUCAAUGACAGCAAAGGAAGAAGAGUAAAACCCUCCCCUUCCUUACAACUGGAGUGAGGAAAUGGACCCUUAGUAUGGUGGGCUGUGACUGGAGCCCUGCUUUUGAAACGUGAUCCGUGUGUGCAAAUCCCACACAGACCAGACGCCAAAACCACAGUCAUUCUUUGACAUUUCUGUUGAGAAAGAGAACAAAUGUGCUCUGUACUCAUCUUUUGUUUUUUGAAAUAAAACCAAUUAAAUUAACUUUGA